rnacentral:lncRNA from 1 species
AAAAAGACAAAAAUAGCACUAAAUCAAGUUUUUGUUCCCAAACUAACACUCAAGGUCAAAAGUCACAAAAAUAGCACUUAAUGUUUUAUCAAAAGUCACAAACUUAGGGUUUAGAGUUAAAGUGUGGGGUUUAGAAUAUAGGGUUUUGGGUUUAGGGUUUAGAGUUUAGGGUUUAGGGUUUAGAUUUUAGGGUUUAGUGUUUAGUGUUUAGGGUUUAGGGUUUAGGGUUUAGAGUUUAGGGUUUAGAGUUUAGGGUUUAGGGUUUAUGGUUUAGGGUUUAGGGUUUAGAGUUUAGGGUUUAGGGUUUAGAGUUGAGAAAUGAGGUUUUGGGGAUAAGAUUUCAAAUUUUGAAAAAAAAAAAAAAAAAAAAAUUUCAAAGGAUAAACUCAGAAAGGUGCUAUUUUGGUCAUUUUA